CACUCCCUGCUGUACACGACAGCUUCGCCCUUUAUACUCCGAUAACUGUAUAACGGGAGUCCAUAUUCCGCAGCGGAUUGCAGACCUCCCCGGCAACGGGACGAAGGGAGCAGGAACCUGUGGAGCGGACGUACCCACCUUGUCAUAAGACGGGGUUUGCAGCCGGCGGGGCAUCGAUAUGGCGGGGUCACA
rnacentral:other from 1 species